rnacentral:rRNA from 1 species
AAGUCGUAACAAGGUCUCCGUUGGUGAAGCCAGCGGAGGGAUCAUUACUGAGUACUACACUCUCUACCCUUUGUGAACUAUUAUACCUGUUGCUUCGGCGGCGCCCGCAAGGGUGCCCGCCGGUCUCAUCAGAAUCUCUGUUUUCGAACCCGACGAUACUUCUGAGUGUUCUUAGCGAACUGUCAAAACUUUUAACAACGGAUCUCUUGGCUCCAGCAUCGAUGAAGAACGCAGCGAAACGCGAUAUGUAAUGUGAAUUGCAGAAUUCAGUGAAUCAUCGAAUCUUUGAACGCACAUGGCGCCUUCCAGUAUCCUGGGAGGCAUGCCUGUCCGAGCGUCGUUUCAACCCUCGAGCCCCUGUGGCCCGGCGUUGGGGAUCUGCCACGGCAGGCCCCUAAAACCAGUGGCGGACCCGAAGGGCCCUCUCCUUUGCGCAGUAGCAUUCGCCUCGCAUCGGGAGUCCUCGGCGUCCUGCCUCUAAACCCCCCACAAGCCCGCUUCGGCGGCACCAAGGUUGACCUCGGAUCAGGUAGGAAUACCCGCUGAACUUAA